CCUACGGGAGGCAGCAGGGAGGAAUAUUGGUCAAUGGGCGCGAGCCUGAACCAGCCAAGUAGCGUGAAGGAUGACUGCCCGACGGGUUGUAAACUGCUUUUAUAAAGGAAUAAAGUGAGGCACGUGUGCCUUUUUGUAUGUACUUUAUGAAUAAGGAUCGGCUAACUCCGUGCCAGCAGCCGCGGUAAUACGGAGGAUCCGAGCGUUAUCCGGAUUUAUGGGGUUUAAAGGGAGCGUAGAUGGGUUGUUAAGUCAGUUGUGAAAGUUUGCGGCUAAACCGUAAAAUUUCAAUUGAUACUGGCAGUCUUGCGUACCGUUUAGGUCGGCGGCCUUCGUGUUGUAGCGGUGCACUGC
rnacentral:rRNA from 1 species